GAAAUGGUGACAUCACUGGCAUAUACUCAUCAUGGACGACAGUAUCUUGCUCAAGAAGGAGUAAUUGACCAAAUUUCUAAUAUAAUUGUUGGGGCAGAUUCAGACCCUUUCUCUAGCUUCUAUCUGCCAGGAUUCGUGAAGUUUUUUGGAAACCUGGCUGUCAUGGAUAGUCCUCAACAGAUCUGUGAGCGUUAUCCUAUCUUUGUGGAAAAAGUCUUUGAAAUGAUAGAAAGUCAGGACCCCACUAUGAUUGGUGUAGCUGUAGACACAGUUGGAAUCUUGGGAUCCAAUGUUGAAGGAAAACAGGUUUUACAGAAAACAGGUUGGUAUGACUUGGCCCUGUUCAGGGAUAUCUUAAUUUUUGACAGGGGUUCAAUAUGUAAGUUCAUUUGCUGGUGGGUUAACUACAUUGUAGAAACUAUUUUAUGGGUGGCAGUCUUGUUAACCAUGACCUUGGACUCAUGUCUGAAAAUCUAAUAAUUAUUACGGAAAACCUUUUUUUUUUUUUUUACUUUUCACUGGUUUAGGUUUUCAUUGGUUUAGGUUUCUACCAAUCGAUUUCAACCAAACAUUGUUUCCUGUUUCCCCUCUAUGAUGUCUUCUUUGACUAGAUUUCAUGGUACAAAGACCAUGGGCUAGAGUCAGAAAGGUCUGGAUUCAUGUCCUUGGGUUUUCUAUUCUUU
rnacentral:sRNA from 1 species